rnacentral:lncRNA from 1 species
CCUUCUUCCGGCUGGGUUCCACUACCUGCAAGGCUGGAACUGACAGCCACUGUGCAAACAAAAAAAGGCAACAAGCAUGCUGGGACCAUUCUGUCUGCUGUUUGGGUCUCACUUGUCCUGACAACUAAAAAUCAUCAGUGGAAAGAAGCUAGAGUCAUCCUAACAAGAGUGAUAGUCUUUCCCCAAGUGAGACCAGGCUGUGCUGUCUGGGGAAAAGCAUUGCUGGCCUUGUCGAGAUGCACCGACGACUCAGCUCAGCUAAGGACUUAACCAGUACAGGACUUGCUGCAGCGGAGCCUGAGCUGGAUAUGGAAAGCAAAAGGU